AAAAAUUGAAGUUAGGACUACAGUUUUAACACAAUACUUUCUGCAUAUUAACUGUAGUUUCACUACUUCCGAAAACUGUAGUAUUACUUUUUAAAAAUUGAAGUUAGGACUACAGUUUUAACACAAUACUUUCUGCAUAUUAACUGUAGUUUCACUACUUCCGAAAACUGUAGUAUUACUGUAGGGAUCUGGGAAUUCCCCUUUAACAAGUUACGUACGCGCCAUAAGCAUGAUGACGUCACUGACUCGUGGUUGCUAAGUGCGUUCGGCAACUACAUAGUUACAACAAAAACGUUCUUAUAAUUUCUCAAACUUUAUUCUUACUAUUUUAUUGGGCAUGUAUAAGUUGGCAAAAUACAUUUAUAGUUUUCUCAUAAUAUUAGAUCACUCCUGAAAUAUGAUAUUUUACUAAAGUAAAUCUGGGUUUUUGUGCUUCGGACUUCUUCGGGCUUUUCCGGAAGUAAGUGGCCUACGUGCAGGAUUGGCACGUCCUGUUCCUUUUUCUUCGGACCAUGCCGUUGCAUGAUGUGAGCCAAAUUCACAUCAAAAAACCUUCUUUGGCGAGCUAAAAUCUGAAGGCCCAUAUCUGAACAGCCCACCAACUGAAGUGAAGUGCUGUAUAGCUGCUUUUGGAGUCAUUUAAGGAAAGAUUUGAAGAUGUCGGGGGUUUUUAUAUUCCAUUGAAAUAUUGUAUCUCAACUGGAUCAUCAAUAAAUCAACCAAUCAACUAAUGACAGAAACCGAU